GCAUAACGCGAAGAACCUUACCAGGUCUUGACAUCCAGGUAAAGCCGCAGAGAUGCGGUGUGUGCUUGCACGAUCUGAGACAGGUGGUGCAUGGUUGUCGUCAGCUCGUGUCGUGAGAUGUUGGGUUAAGUCCCGCAACGAGCGCAACCCUUGCCGAUAGUUACUAACGGGUAGAGCCGAGGACUUUAUCGGGACCGCCGGGGACAACUCGGAGGAAGGUGGGGACGACGUCAAAUCAUCAUGCCCCUUAUGACCUGGGCUACACACGUGCUACAAUGGCCGAGACAGAGAGAUGCGAAGGCGCGAGCCGGAGCGGACCUCAGAAAAGCGGUCACAGUUCGGAUUGCGGGCUGCAACCCGCCCGCAUGAAGCAGGAGUUGCUAGUAAUCGCGAAUCAGCAUGUCGCGGUGAAUACGUUCCCGGGUCUUGUACACACCG
rnacentral:rRNA from 1 species